CGUAGGUGGCAAGCGUUGUCCGGAUUUAUUGGGUUUAAAGGGUGCGUAGGCGGUUUUCUAAGUCAGCAGUGAAAUACGGCAGCUCAACUGUCGAGGUGCUGUUGAUACUGGGGAACUUGGGUACUGAUGAGGUAGGCGGAAUGGACGGUGUAGCGGUGAAAUGCUUAGAGAUCGUCCAGAACACCGAUAGCGAAGGCAGCUUACUAAGGAGUAACUGACGCUGAGGCACGAAAGUGUGGGGAUCAAACAGGAUUAGAUACCCUGGUAGUCCACACUGUAAACGAUGAUUACUCGAUGUGUGCGAUACACAGCACGCGUCUUAGCAAAAGCGAAUAAGUAAUCCACCUGGGGAGUACGCCGGCAACGGUG
rnacentral:rRNA from 1 species